GCCUGUAGCUCAGUUGGUUAGAGCUCCUGACUCAUAAUCAGGCGGUCACGUGUUCGAGUCACGUCGGGCC
rnacentral:tRNA from 1 species